GGAAGGAUCAUUAAAGAAAGCUUCGGCUUCUUUUAUGCCACUACCACUUUGAUGUUCUUUUCCUCGUUGCUUCCACCUUUGGGUGGCAGGUUACCCGCCUGCUUGACAGGGGUGGAGGGUUUUUUUGCAUUACACUUGUUGAUUAAGACUGAGCAUUUAUCUGAAUAUGAGGGAAAUCUCUUCAAAACUUUCAACAACGGAUCUCUUGGCUCCUGCAUCGAUGAAGAACGCAGCGAAAUGCGAUAACUAAUGUGAAUUGCAGAAUUCCGUGAAUCAUCGAGUCUUUGAACGCACAUUGCGCCCCAUGGUAGUCCGUGGGGCAUGCCCGUCUCAGCGUCAGUGAAACCCAUCAACUCCUGACUUUUCUGUUGGAGGUUGGAUUCUGUCAGGGAAGCUGUGACCUCCCAGGUCAUAGCUCCUUGAAAAUCUAUGGAUGUUCAGACCACCAUGUUGGGAACGUGAUGUGAUUAUUUUCGUUCCACGGGGUUUGUUUUGGACCAUCCUAAAAACUCACAUGCCAUCGAGCACCUUUAAGCAUUUGACCUGAGAUCGGGUAGGGAUACCCGCUGAACUUAAGCAUAUCAAUAAGCGGAGGAAAAGAAACCAACAGGGAUUGCCUCAGUAACGGCGAGUGAAGCGGCAAAAGCUCAGAUUUGAAAGCUGACACUUUCAGUGCCCGCAUUGUAAUCUGUAGAGGAGUGUUCGGGCAUAGCUUUGGCCCAAGUUCUUUGGAACAGGACGUCCUGGAGGGUGAGAAUCCCGUACAUGGUCGUUGCCUUUUUGCCCUUGUGAACCUCCUUCAAUGAGUCGAGUUGUUUGGGAAUGCAGCUCUAAAUGGGUGGUAUAUUUCAUCUAAAGCUAAAUACCAGCAGGAGACCGAUAGCGCACAAGUAGAGUGAUCGAAAGAUGAAAAGAACUUUGGAAAGAGAGUCAAACAGUACGUGAAAUUGUUGAAAGGGAAGCACUUGCACCCAGACUUGCCUGCGGUUGAUCAGCCGUCAUUUUUGAUGGUGCACUCUGCCGUAGGCAGGCCAGCAUCGGUUAAAGUGGUGGGACAAAGGUGCAGAGAAUGUAGCUCCUUUGGGAGUGUUAUAGCUUUGCAUGUCAUGUCACUUACUUUGACCGAGGCCCGCGCUCCGGCGAGGAUGCUGGCUUAAUGGGUGUAAGUGACCCGUCUUGAAACACGGACCAAGGAGUCUAACAGCUGUGCAAGUGUUUGGGUGUAAAACCCUAACGCGUAAUGAAAGUGAAUGCAGGUGGGAACCGCAAGGUGCACCAUCGACCGAUCCUGAUGUUUUCGGAUGGAUUUGAGUAAGAGCAUGGCUGUUGGGACCCGAAAGAUGGUGAACUAUGCCUGAAUAGGGUGAAGCCAGAGGAAACUCUGGUGGAGGCUCGCAGCGGUUCUGACGUGCAAAUCGAUCGUCAAAUUUGGGUAUAGGGGCGAAAGACUAAUCGAACCAUCUAGUAGCUGGUUCCGGC
rnacentral:misc_RNA from 1 species